rnacentral:rRNA from 1 species
CACCACCAGGAGUGGAGCCUGCGGCUUAAUUCGACUCAACACGGGGAAACUUAUCAGGACCGGACGCUGAAAGGAUUGACAGAUUGAGAGCUUUUUCUCGAUUUAGCGGGAGGUGGUGCAUGGCCGUUUCAAGUUGGUGGUGCGAAUUGUCUGGUUGAUUCCGGUAACGAGCGAGACUCUGCCUUGCUAAUUAGUCGGCGAAUCG